GCAAAAUUGUUUAAGACAUACAGAAUCUGAAAAGAAGUCAAAAGGGAAGGCAGUGGCUAUUACUGAAUUUUUCAACUCUAGAUGAACGAGGGAGAAAGGAAAUGCAAUAUUUUCAUACGGAAAACAUAUCCCGAAGGUUUGCAACAGAGUGGACUCCGCUAAAGUCACUAAUGUAACCAGGUCGUGGUGUUAAAACGAACAGCUGGUUAAAUCUCUCCCACCAAAGUAGGCUAUAGCAGAAUUAGAACUCAGAACGCAAAGAGUCGGAACAAGUGUCGCAAGGCAAAGCAUCCUGUCCAUCAUACUUACAAUUCCCCUAGUCCACCGCUUUGGGUUAAUAUUAUGUAUCAACCAAAAAUGAUCUCGACGGGACUUGAACUAAGAGUGCAGUGUCUACCAGUUCAGUAUUCAGCUGACGCAGAAAUAUUGUGAUGGCAAAUAUUCUGCUCAAUACCACAGAUAUGCUUGUCACCACGAUAUCCCUUAGUGGCUGACAAUACGUGCAUCUCUAAUCGUGAGUAGGAGUAGUGAGGGAACAUCAUGGCCAUGUGUUGAGAUGGAUUCUUUUGGGUUUAAAUAAAUGUAACAAAAGCAAAGCUUGAAAGAAAUAUUUUUUAAAACUUUCUAGGGGUAACCAAAUAGGAAAUAGCAGUUACUACACAAGGAUAAAAAUCGUCUUACACAGUGUUAUCAAUGUAUGGAAUAGUUUACCAUUUCCAAAAGACGGGAGAGAUGCAAUUUCACUGGACAAGAGAAAAGGUACCAGAUUAAACAGUAGUAACUUUCAUGGUAUUUUCUUUCUUGUAACUGAUGGAAAGAUAUUUACUAUCUACAUACGUAAGCUUCAUCGCUGUCGUAGUGGAUUUAGAUUA